rnacentral:lncRNA from 12 species
UAGCUGUAAAUAGGUGCAUACAUUGCAACAGUUUGUACUAACAAUAUUAUAUGUGUUUAGGACAGUACAGCUGUACAGGAAUGCACAAAUUGCUGUGCCUUGAAAGAAAAAUAAAGCAGCUGGAAGAAGACAACAGAAGAGUAGUUCUUCACUUGGACACCAUAAAUGAGUUGAAGAGCAUGGUGUGUGCGCUGAAGGGGGGCUUAAAAGAAAGAAGUGCCCUGGAAACCAAAAACCAGCCAUACUUGCACAUCCACACUCAUCGCAAGACAACCAGGUGGACCCCCUUGAGGAUGAUGUGACCAUUGCUGAUGGCGUUA